UUGAGGGCUGGUGAUCUCCCAGAAUGCCAUAAACACAGCUUAAUGGAUUAUUCUGAUGGAAGCAUAGAAGACCAGAAUGCCCAGGAAAAUUCAGCAAAGACAGGCAUGUGAAAAGAACAAGGAUGGCUUGGGAAAUAAGAGUGGAGGCCAUUGUGUUAGUUUCUGGCAAAGAAUCUGCCCAAAAUUUUGCCCAGGCCUUGAAGUUUGUCAUGAGAAUGAAUUCAACACCAAUGAUCUAGCUAACCAUGGACUUAGCACUGGAAAAAAUAUGAUAGAUAAAUUUAGGCAAGACCCUACUCAUGGAGCUCUCCAGGAUGUAACAGUACAAUUCAUUUGGAAGGAGAGUGCCUGAAAACACAGAGCCUUCAGGGUAUGUUGUUACAAAAUGUCUGCCUAGGAAAGUGCUUUCUCCAGUUCAGCUUGAAGGAACACAGAGGUGAAUGCAAAUGGUGUUGAAUAACCCAACAGGCUACAUACGAAGUUGGCUACAAAGCUAGGCUUCAUCUGUGUGGUUCUGCUUUUGUAAGCAUACAAGAGCGAAGACAGAUGUCAUGGAAACUUGAACCAAGGAAGUCACUGAAGUCAGAGAUGUGUAGCAAGGUUGUAUUCCCUGUACAAUGCUCCUGAGAACCUAUAUAGGAAAAUGUGGAGGUAAACCCUCAAAUUUCUUGGAGAUGCAGGAUCUUAGAGAUACCAGAAAUUAGGGGCAUUUGCCAAGGAAUGCUGCAGGCAAUAAGCAGGUUCAACCCCAAGCAGUGAACACGCCUCACAGGGAACAAUUUGGACCCUCAGGGCUACCCAAGUCUUGCAUAUCUGGAUAAUGACAUCAUGAGCCCCGAUAA
rnacentral:lncRNA from 1 species